rnacentral:lncRNA from 1 species
GGCAGUGACUCACGCUUCUUACGCGGUUUUUUCGGCCGUGCUGUGCCGUUGGCUGCAUGCCGCGCCGUGUCUGGUGUGCAGGUAUGCUCCGGUUCUUUUGUUCCCGUAGGUAACAGGCUUUACGAAUGGAGCGUUAUUUUCAGUGUUCACAAGCAGCGCAUAGCACCGGUGCCUGAGCUUUGGGAGGCCGUGCCCACCGGUCUUGCUUUCCUAACCAGGGUGGGGCGUGUGAACGGCCGGAAAAUACACUGGACUGGGAAGACCACUGGUCACCGAGAAAAGCGGAAGAUAAAAAAACGAAAGGAGGGAGGGGAUCCUGCCUUUCUUUUUCAGAGUGUAAGAGUCGGAGAGCAGCAAUAACUCGGGGUUCAUAAGUCACGGCCUCCUGUGCGAGACACGUGUCUGUAAGCGAGUGCUUGUGUCAAUAAAGUCACUCUGUGUCGACAGGGAGGCAAAAACCUGCCUUUUGUUUGUUCAUUUGGAAAAGGGCGGAAGGACCAGCUUUCUGCACAUCCAGCGGCGUUUCAGGGAGGCGGCAGUGGAUGAGUCCUCAGUGUCAUCAAGCGCGUUCUUCACCACUCUGCCGCCAACUGCUAGGGCACUUGUCGGCAUGCAACCGCACCGCGAACGCACCGGCUGGUAUCGUCUUCCAACUUUCGUUUCGUAUCUGUGAAAACCACGGCGACGGAGACACGGGUAAACAGGUGUCGAGAAAAUCGUUAAAACGGAGAUUCGACGAGAACCUUGAAACGAAGGGCCGUGCCGUAGGUCCAUCAGCGGAGUGGGCUCCUCUGCGGUGCCCGCUCCCCUGAUGAAUGCUCACGCCGCGCAUGUGUCUCUGCAAUUACCAUUCGUGAUUAAAACCAUAUAUGAGAAUAUCCCGGCGCGAAACGUCUCCGUGUUUAUAUAUGGUGUUCUGUGUGUACGUAUAUAUAUACAUAUGGUGACGAAAUGGAAAGAUUCAAGCAUCACCGAGGCGCUCGUCCAUACACUGCAGCUGCUGACGUUGGGAACGGUAGAGAAAGUCAACAUUUCCGUGGUGAUGUGUUUCUUCGCGGCGACUCCUCUCCUCUGACAAAGACCCGGC